rnacentral:rRNA from 1 species
AGUGAACGCUGGCGGUAGGCCUAACACAUGCAAGUCGAACGGCAGCACAGUAAGAGCUUGCUCUUACGGGUGGCGAGUGGCGGACGGGUGAGGAGUACAUCGGAAUCUACUUUUUCGUGGGGGAUAACGUAGGGAAACUUACGCUAAUACCGCAUACGACCUACGGGUGAAAGCAGGGGAUCUUCGGACCUUGCGCGAUUGAAUGAGCCGAUGUCGGAUUAGCUAGUUGGCGGGGUAAAGGCCCACCAAGGCGACGAUCCGUAGCUGGUCUGAGAGGAGGGUCAGCCACACUGGAACUGAGACACGGUCCAGGCUCCUACGGGAGGCAGCAGUGGGGAAUAUUGGACAAUGGGCGCAAGCCUGAUCCAGCCAUACCGCGUGGGUGAAGAAGGCCUUCGGGUUGUAAAGCCCUUUUGUUGGGAAAGAAAAGCAGCAGGUUAAUACCCCGCUGUUCUGACGGUACCCAAAGAAUAAGCACCGGCUAACUUCGUG